rnacentral:rRNA from 1 species
GACAGAGGUGCCAAGCGUUAGGCGGAAUCACUGGGCUUAAAGCGUGUGUAGGUGGACUGGUAAGUACCUUGUGAAAUCCCACGGCUUAACCGUGGAACUGCUUGGUAUACUGCUGGUCUUGAGCAACCUAGGGGCGAGUGGAACAAAUGGUGGAGCGGUGAAAUGCGUAGAUAUCAUUUGGAACGCCAAUGGUGAAAACAACUCGCUGGGGGUUUGCUGACACUGAGACACGAAAGCCAGGGGAG